rnacentral:rRNA from 1 species
ACUAAGCGGAGGAAAAGAAACCAACCGGGAUUGCCUCAGUAACGGCGAGUGAAGCGGCAAGAGCUCAAAUUUAAAAUCCGGCGCCCACGGCGCCCGAGUUGUAAUUUGCAGAGGAUGUUUUGGGGCGCGGCGGCGGCUUAAGUUCCUUGGAACAGGGCGUCUGAGAGGGUGAGAACCCCGUAUGUGGCCGGCAGCCAAGCCUGUGUAAAACUCCUUCGACGAGUCGAGUUGUUUGGGAAUGCAGCUCCAAAUGGGUGGUAAAUUCCAUCUAAAGCUAAAUAUCGGCCAGAGACCGAUAGCGCACAAGUAGAGUGAUCGAAAGAUGAAAAGCACUUUGGAAAGAGAGUUAAAAAGUACGUGAAAUUGUUGAAAGGGAAGCGCUCGCAACCAGAUCCUGCCCGCGGGCGGUCAACGGUGGGGCUCCCACCGCGCACUCGUCCGCGAUCAGGCCAGCAUCGGUUCUGGCGACCGGACAAAGGCCUGGGGAAUGUAGCUCCCUCUGGGGAGUGUUAGCAGCCCCAGGUGGAAUACGGCCAGCCGGGAUCGAGGACCGCGCUUCGGCUAGGAUGCUGGCGUAAUGGUUGUGAGCGACC